UGUCACCCGUAAGGUGAUGACGAUGCAGGAAGCCGGUGCGAAUCCGGCGCGGUCCCGCCACUGUCAUCGGGGAGCGACCCUCAACGGCCACGGCUGACAAGCUGGAAGGCGAGGCGAGCGGCGAUCCGAGAGCCAGGACACUCG
rnacentral:ncRNA from 1 species